AGAGGUUCUUUGAUUUGCUAGUUCUGGGUAUUGGGAAGAAGAAGUUCAUCAAGGAAUGUGAAGGCUGGGUCUUCGAAACCUCCAAUAGAUCUCACAAGUUAGUGGCCAGGGCACCGAAGAGUAUCAAACGCCGUCGCUAAAAAAAAAAAAAAAAACCAUUCGCUUCGGGAAAGAAGCAGAACAGAUCUCUCUCCCUCUCGCUUUACCAUCUACCCUUCUUUUCAUCUCGUCGACGACUAACCAAGUAUGUGAAGAAUCUCUCGUCAUCGGUUGUCGCUUCUGUCCGGUUAUUUGGCUAUUAGCUAGUCGCGACCGUGUCUCCAAGCAGCGAAGAGAAGUGGCUUUUUGGGCUAUGGAGCCUCGCCCUCGGGUAGGGGGAUGAUUCCGAGUCGGCCGGAAGAACAAUAGUAGACCUUUGGAGAGAUCUACUUAGGAGUGCCCAACACAUUGAAUGUGAUCACCAAUUUCCCAUUCUUGGUUGUUGGGGUUCUGGGUUUUGUUCUCUGUGUCCAAGGAGGCUUUUUCAAUAUCAGGUU